rnacentral:rRNA from 1 species
CGCGCAGGCGGUUUUUCAAGUCAGUGGUGAAAGCCCGGAGCUCAACUCCGGAACUGCCAUUGAAACUGUAAGACUUGAGGAUGAGAGAGGUGAGUGGAAUUCCCAGUGUAGAGGUGAAAUUCGUAGAUAUUGGGAAGAACACCGGUGGCGAAGGCGGCUCACUGGCUCAUUUCUGACGCUCAGGCGCGACAGCGUGGGGAUCAAACAGGAUUAGAUACCCUGGUAGUCCACGCCGUAAACGAUGAAUGCUAGCCGUUGGGCAGCUUGCUGUUCAGUGGCGCAGCUAACGCAUUAAGCAUUCCGCCUGGGGAGUACGGCCGCAAGGUUGAA